rnacentral:rRNA from 1 species
UACGAAGGGAGCUAGCGUUGUUCGGAAUCACUGGGCGUAAAGCGCACGUAGGCGGACGUGUCAGUCAGGGGUGAAAUCCCGGAGCUCAACUUCGGAACUGCCUUUGAUACAGCACGUCUUGAGUCCGGAAGAGGAGAGUGGAAUUCCCGGUGUAGCGGUGAAAUGCGCAGAUAUCAGGAGGAACACCGGUGGCGAAGGCGGGACUCUGGGCCGAUACUGACGCUGAGGAGCGAAAGCGUGGGGAGCGAACAGG